UCUGAAUCUUCCAGUCUUUUUGCGUCAAUAACUUGCAAUAUCUUUUUGGUUUUCCCGAAGAGGAGAACUGCACUGCGGAUACUCUUCUCUCUUUCCUCAAUCUUACAUUGAUGGCAUUUGCUGGUGAUAACAUAUUGCAGGUUCUCGUUGAUGUGCUAGCUUACCAAGAUCAACAUCUAACCACUUGUUAUACAGUUCAACUCCUGACCAUACAACUUCUGCUGCUUUCGUGACAUGUUUCAAGUCUUUUUUGUUGUCCAGAUGAUUCUCUAUCUCACUGACAUACUUCAACCCUUCAUCUACACCACACACUAAUUGCUGAAUUCGUUGGUGAUGAAUAUUGGGGAUUGCAACUGCGAUGCUUGUCAAUGUCACAAUUGGGAGAGCCCAGCAAUUUGGAGGUUCUCCACAUGCCAAUGAUGGAACUUUGCUACUGUCAAACUCUUGUACUCCAGUGAAGGUAUUGACAUAAUUCGACUGCUCUAAAAGUUUUAUAAGAUUUCUUGGCUGCUGCUUUUCUCCCAUCCUGAUCCAGUGAGCAGUAGCAUCUUUAUUGUUUUCCAUCAUCAAAUCCACCAAUCCAUCUUCUCCAUCGAGAUAUAUCACAUACUGACUUAGUUUCAUGUUGUGAGCAUGCCGGAAUUCCAUCUCCGGGUCAUUACUGGAAACACUAUUAUGGCCACUAACGAACCUCCUUAGCCUUAAGAACCUGCCUACAAAGAAGAUUGAAACAAACCUGAUCAUCUUGCAAGAAAAAAUCAAUCCCUUUUGAAUCCAAAUGCACAAGCCAAACAUUUUAAAUUUUGCACCAUCAACAAGUUUUCUGCAACUCCGGUUACAGAUUUUUAAAUCUAAUGGCUGGACCUGCCAUAUGAGCAGCCUUUUUAUCCAAUACCUCUCCACAACCAACUCUAGUACACACGCCCGUUCUGCCUUUUUUGGACACCUGAAGUUGAUAGUCAUGAACCAUCUAAAAGCCGGUGAAAUUGUGCCUACUGCUACUGCUACCGAUUGGCUGAUUAGCACAAGUGUAGUCGACCAUUUAUAGUCAGAAUCUCCGCUACAAAAUCUGAAACACCAUGGCAUGAAGUGACUUCUAAGUAUGGCUUCUGCUAAUAUCAGCAUGUUGAAAAGACAAAAAGCCCCUGAAGCCGAACAUGGUGCGGAUCGGCCUAUCACAAACUGAGGACUAGAGGUAUACGCCAUCAUCCAGUACUUGCCUAAAUCUUCUGAUAGCCUCUCGGCAAUUGAUAAAUUUCUUUGAGUGAAACACUCUUUAUGGGCUUCUCUAGCCUUCUUUUCAUAUGCUAUAUCCAGAUAAUACUUUGUAGACGGAAUGCCCAAUGCCAAAGACCAAAAGAUUGCAAGUAAAAUCAGCAUAAGAAGCAUAAUGACAGCAUGUUCUACCCAAAAUUCAAAAAUCACUCCAGUACCCAUUUGUAUACAGAUGUUGGUGAUCGCAGUGAUGACAAGAAUCCCCAAAGCGAUAAUGUUCAACACGAGUUCAGUAUCUUCCAUGAUUCCUAAAGAAGGUAGUAUGUUACCCAUCACCAUACAUAUGAAGGCCGAGCUGCUGACUUUUGCUAGCUGAUCUUGGCAGCGGGGCAUGGCGGCAUUCAAAUCAACAGAAAGUUUUAUGGCGGUUGCAAUAAUAGUAAGAGUUGUGGCAUUGAGGGUAAAGAAUUUGCAUGGAAACCAGAAUUUCUUGUACCUCAAACCAUGCAUGGCAUCCAUGGCCAUGGCUACUGCGCAUAUCAAUGAUGCUGCUGCUACAUAGAUGCCUAUCCAUGGCAUCGGAUCAUUGAAUUUUGAGUUGUUCAGGGAUCCUUCCGCUGUGCAGCCACUGUGGAAUUUUGAGUUGUUCAUUGAAUUUUGAGUUGUUCAGGGAUCUUUCUUGAUUGAAUCUGAUCUUGUUCACUUUUGGGUUUGUGUUUCCUCUAUCAAAAUAUGGAAAGUUGAUUACCAGAUUAUUAUAUUUAAGGGUUUGUAGACAUAUAUUUUAUAUAUGAUAGUUGAAGUUCUUUAAA